rnacentral:rRNA from 1 species
AGAGUUUGAUCGUGGCUCAGAAUCAACGCUGGCGGCGUGCCUAACACAUGCAAGUCGAACGCGGUUUUCCCGCAAGGGAAAACUGAGUGGCGAACGGGUGAGUAACACGUGGGUGACCUACCUUCGAGUGGGGGAUAACGUCCCGAAAGGGACGCUAAUACCGCAUAACAUCCUGCUCUUGAACGAGCGGAGAUCAAAGCCGGGGAUCGCAAGACCUGGCGCUUGAUGAGGGGCCCGCGUCCGAUUAGCUAGUUGGUGAGGUAAUGGCUCACCAAGGCAACGAUCGGUAGCCGGCCUGAGAGGGCGGACGGCCACACUGGGACUGAGACACGGCCCAGACUCCUACGGGAGGCAGCAGUGGGGAAUUGUUCGCAAUGGGCGCAAGCCUGACGACGCAACGCCGCGUGGAGGAUGAAGGUCUUCGGAUUGUAAACUCCUGUUGCCAGGGACGAAUGGCCACGACCUAACACGUCGUGGUGUGACGGUACCUGGUGAGGAAGCCCCGGCUAACUCUGUGCCAGCCGCCGCCGU